AUACUUAUCUGGCGUAGAGUUUACCGUGAUCAUGAAGGCGGUUCGUCCUUAGCAAGACUUGGCAAUUGCACUUCAGCUGAGUUGACCUUCACGAUAAUUCCUAAUGCGAAUAACUUGUGUGUGUAAUUUUUCGUAUUAUUAAUGUGAAUACAGCGCUCGCUUAAAG